AUUCUGAAAUAAUGAGUAUUAAUUUUUAACGAAUUUUAUAAAAUAACAAACAUUCUUUUAUUUAAUACCAACAAGAAAUUUUUAUGCUUUUCAUCUACAGGGUGUCCAGCGAAUAGUCAAACAGUGGAUUUAUUGGGAAAUCUGUAAAAAUUGCAUACAGAAAUAUUAGACAUCAGUAACAAAAGUCUACAGCAGAUGGCACCAAAGCUGCACUUAAGGAAGGGAGAGAUUCUCAAUAAGUUUAGAUUUAUUAUAGGUUUUCCCUGUUCUUCUUGACUCAUGGCAGCCCUGGUGCAUAGAAAGCCGGAGAAAAAAAAAUCUGCCAUAGGAUCACAAAAUCAAGGGGCACCUAAAACCAACUAGUAACUCUACUUCGCAGAUAAUAUAAACGUUUUCUGUUCAAGAAAUGUUGCACUUAAAGGUUUCUCAACUUGUAAUCAUAAUGCCUCCAAUAUAGAAGUUGCUUGAGAGCCAAAUUUUUGCAAUAGGAUUCCAGGAUUUCUGUGAAUUUCAUGUUUACUAAGUGAAAUUUUGUCACUAACCACAUGGCUACAAUAGGGUGGACUUAACUGCCCCAGUGAUUAAAUACAUAGUUUGAUUUUGAGUUUUUAAAAUUUACAAAUACAGUGAAACCUCUCGGGAACACUUGUGUUGGCGUUAUGAAAAUCGGAUCAAUGAAUAAAAUUCACCUUCAAUAAAAAUCACCCUUACUGAACUAAUUAUGAGCAAAAACAAAAUUACCAAUUAUGAAUGAUAGAACUAUUUUUAAUAAAUAAGCAAUUAUGUC